CACCCCUCGUCUGCUGAAAUUGUAUCGUGCCAGGAAGGGCGCCUUUAGUCGAGAGAUGCAUGGAAACCCUUUUGGAAAUGCUUGACAAACAGACAUCUGACAUCACAAGUCAUCGCAGACAGGCAGCUGUGGAAGGUCUUCCCAUAUUUCUGCGGGAGAAUACUGAGAAGCUUUUCUCUAGAUGCCUGGCAACUGAUGCAGAUGACGAGCAGACGAAAGGCAUCAAGAUGGGUGUCCUCACAGUGCUUGAUGAUAAUGACGCAGUCAUUAA